GUGGUCUGUCUGCCUUUUCCCUGCUUUUCCCAGUCUUCCUGUCUCGUGAUUGUCAACCUUGUUAUUUAUAUCAGAGGCUCAGAUGGUUUUCUGUUAGCAUGUCUUGCACCUCUUCCAUCACUUAGCUGGAAGACAGGGUAAAGGAGAACCCUCUGGUCCAGACGGGACGUUCUUCUCUGGUUAUACGACGGAUUCUUGGCAGCAAUGGAAGAUUGUGUGCCUGACUACGACAUCAGUUGAGGACGUAGAAGGAAUUGGCAUGCACUGGCAUCCACCCUUAACUGCUACCUGACUUUGAUGGCAACCAACCUCCAUGUCCCCAUGCCCAUCUUACACAGAGGGAAUUCCUGUUGCUUCUUCAUGUUUAGUCCAGCUGAGCCGCAGGUGCUGGCUGGCGAGCCUUUGCCUCAGACUGGGCAGCAAAUUAAACAACUAGG